rnacentral:rRNA from 1 species
UACGAAGGGGGCUAGCGUUGCUCGGAAUCACUGGGCGUAAAGGGCGCGUAGGCGGUCUUUUAAGUCGGGGGUGAAAUCCUGGAGCUCAACUCCAGAACUGCCUUCGAUACUGGAAGACUCGAGUCCGGGAGAGGUGAGUGGAACUGCGAGUGUAGAGGUGAAAUUCGUAGAUAUUCGCAAGAACACCAGUGGCGAAGGCGGCUCACUGGCCCGGUACUGACGCUGAGGUGCGAAAGCGUGGGGAGCGAACGAGG